CAGUCGCCACGGGAAUACGUAGGCAGCGAGCGUUGUUCGGAAUUACUGGGCGUAAAGAGUGUGUAGGCGGUGCUAUAAGUUCGGUGUGAAAUCUCCCGGCUCAACUGGGAGGGUGCGCCGAAAACUGUAGUGCUCGAACGUGGGAGAGGAAAGCGGAAUUCCUGGUGUAGCGGUGAAAUGCGUAGAUAUCAGGAGGAACACCUGCGGUGUAGACGGCUUUCUGGACCAUUGUUGACGCUGAGACACGAAAGCGUGGGUAGCAAACAGGAUUAGAUACCCGGGUGGUCCCUGUCUCUUAUAC
rnacentral:rRNA from 1 species